AUAUAUAUAUAUAUAUAUAUAUAUAUAUAUAAAAAGUUGUAUAAACUUAAAAGACAUGAUUUAUUAAGUUUUAAUAUUAGCAAAGAAACCAUUGAAUAGAAAAUCAAUAACAUAGAGAAAUAAUAGUUUGUCUAUGAAAUAAAAAUAAUAUAGAAAUGUUUAAGAGGAGUGUUGUAUAUCAAGAACUCAUCACUUGCCAGGUACCCAAUUUUAUGUAGAAAAAUAUAGAAAUGAUGAGGGAAAGUAUAAGGGUCUAGCUACAGGAUUUUUUCUUUGAGUCACUGCUAAACAACUCUUUUAUGCUUCUAUCUGACAAUCUUUUCUUGUCAUGCAAUGUUUAAGCUGGUGUGGAAGUUGUCGGCUCGUAUUGUGUUUGUUGUGAAAAUGACUGUAUCCGGGAAGAUCUCUUUGACGAUAAGUUCAUGUUUGUUAGUUUUUUGGAUUUGGAAUAUAUGGAUUUGUCCUAUUGUUUGCACAAUUUCUUGUGGCAGUGAUUGUUGUCUUAUGUAAGGGUACUUAUUGAUGAGGUCCUUGCAAGUCAUUCCAAAGAGUUGUUCUGCUGGUUUUCCCCUAAACUUUCGUAUGGCCUCAUUGUUGGGGUCUUCAAUGACAAUAUGCAUUAUAUAAUUGUAGAUACACAUAUUGUUGAGAUUAGUAAUUUAAACCUUAUUAUGGCAAAAGCUACAAAUAUCACUGAGUUGUUGUAAUAUAGUCACCUAAAGUUAUAAACUUCAUUGUAAAGAGUAGAACAAAUACAUUUACAAUGAUUUUUUAGUUAGAGAUAGAUGAUUAUUUUAUUGCGAACUACAUAAAGCAAAGGCACCAUCUUGAUUUGCGCCCAAUAUCAACUAUUUUGAAGUUUUAAAUUGUACCAAAUAUUGAGAUAAUAUAGAUGACUAAUUUAACAAUAUGAAAGGUAGCGUGAAAGGUGUGGAUGAAGCAAGCAAAGUGUCACACCCCACCAAUUUUCGAAGGAUAAAUUUCAAAAAUUUGGGCAUGAUAAAACUCAAAUUCUAAAUAUCCCAUAACCUGCUCAACAAUUUCAAAAACUAAAAACAAAUAUUGGAAAUGUAAAUGUCGAUAAACUCAUCAACCGAGUUAAACAUUUAAUCUCCUUAAUUACAACAACUUCCAAAAGUCUAGUAAUAAACUACCUCGCUCACAAAAGCUUAAAAACAACUACCAUAAAAUACAAAUAAAUGUAUUUCGUCAAAACCCAGCUCCUAGGCCACUGCCUCAAACCUUCUAAUCAUCACUUGCAGGUCUAACCCCUACACCAUGAAUUGGUGCACCGGGUUGUAAACAACAAACCCAGUAAGCUAAAAAGCUCGUAUGAGUAACUCCCAAAAUAAUAACCCAACAAUCCCAACAUCACAUAUAAGUAAAACUGGUAAUUCCUGCAUUAGCAACUUAGUUCAGGAAUCGCCUAAAAGCAAGAGAAUUCAAAAGAAACAAUUAAAAAAAACACAAUAAUUUAAAAUCACUCAAAAUCAUAAAUGAAUCCUAUAAAUAAACAUAGUUCAAGAAUUCUAUUAAAAUCACACAAUUAAGAUUUAAGAAUCUCCUACGGAUAAGCAUAGGUCAGGAGAUACUCAAAGCAUGAAAUUUAAACAACAUAUAAGAACAUCAUACAAACAUUUCUCUACUCCUACUUAUGAGUUCGCCAACACUUAGUCAUCUCCCAUAAGUAACCAAACAAAUGCGUACUCAUGGGUUCGUCAACACUUAGUCAUCCCCCAUGAAGUACCGACUGACAGACUAGAGCUCUAUACUGACCGUAACCAAUCACCCGGCCAAGGCUUGGUUCCCGGUCCACCACGAAUGCUCCUAAUCUAAUAAUCACCACUAAGGCACACACAUACACAACUAAUGCACACAAUCACCACUAAGGCACACAUUUCAAUACUCUCCCAUCAUAACACUUAUCAAAUCACAAAAUAAUAAUAUAAUCAUAAUCGUAAUCUAUCACCCGAUUAGAGGCUAGGAACCCGGUUUGACUAUUUAAACAACAAUUCAAAUAUAAAAAUAUCAUCAACAACAUCACAAGAGCACUUCAUAAAUUAUAUCUUUCCACCUAGAUAUAUUUAUAUAAACAAAGACAUAGAUAUUCCCACUAGAAUAAUCUAUCAACAACCAUAUUUCAACAUCACCAUAUCACAUGAUCGAAAGUCCUUUUGAAAGAUUUAUUUUUAACA
rnacentral:lncRNA from 1 species